UCUUCCUUCUUUCUUUCCCGAUAUUCUCUCUCUUUGCUCUCUCGAUCUAAAAAGGCGAAUCGAUGGUCUAGAAAAAUCAAUCGAUUCGACUGGAGGAUUGAUGGUCACCGGAGGAUAAGAUUCUCAUCAAAACCGAACCAAAGCCCUCGUCUUCGUCUUCACCGCAGCAACCCACGACGGAGACGAAACAAGUCGACGGAGAUGAUUCCGACGGAUUCGAGACUGCCAGCGAACGUGAAAUCAGCUAUGAAGAAGGAGAUGAAGAUGGUACUAAAAACGACGCCGUCACUAGUCAGGAGGAGAAACCACAGCACUAGGAGAAGAAGAAAGAACAGAUUUUGUGGAGGAGGAUGCACUACGAUUCAUCUGUGAUGGCUUUGAUUGAUCCUUGUCAAGCGAGUCUGAUGAUGCGUAAUUGGUUGCAUCUCCUGUUUUAUGCUGAUGGUUUUUAUUCUGCCAGAGCUUCAACAUUUGAGGAACAUUCUACCAGGAGAGGUACUCCACUAAUGAUGCUCUAAUAUUCUCCUUGUUCAUCAUCUCCGUCUGAACGAUGAUGGUUCAAGAUUUUUCCGAUGCAAACACAAGCGUGUUCUGGGACGUGGAGGAUUACCCACUCCCUGCUGAUCGAGAUUUGCGUUGGUUUCGUCAGCUUCUCAAAGAACGUCUCACGAAAAUGGGUAUGCGUCGUGGUGAUGUGUCGAUUAGGGCUUACGGUGAGGAGGAGAAAACGGAUGAAGUGGUGCGUCGCUAUACGGAUGCAGGGAUCACCUACGUGCACAAAAGAGAUAAGUAUCAGAGACUUUCUCUAAUGUUUGCCGACAUGUAGAAAUCGCGACGCCUCUUAUUGUAAUCCAAUUGUUUUGAUGGUAAUCGCCAACGACAACGACAUCCCCGAUGAAGACAAUCUGUAUUAUCAUAUUCUUGACAGCUUGUCUGGUUUUAUGAAGUUCACUGUUUUCUUAGUAUUGGCUCAAAAACAUCGGCCACUUCCUAUCGUACAUGAAGCAUGGUUUUGGGGAUA